rnacentral:rRNA from 1 species
UUAAGUUAUUAAGGGCGCACGGUGGAUGCCUUGGCACUAGAAGCCGAUGAAGGACGUUACUAACGACGAUAUGCUUUGGGGAGCUGUAAGUAAGCUUUGAUCCAGAGAUUUCCGAAUGGGGAAACCCAGCAUGAGUUAUGUCAUGUUAUCGAUAUGUGAAUACAUAGCAUAUCAGAAGGCACACCCGGAGAACUGAAACAUCUUAGUACCCGGAGGAAGAGAAAGAAAAUUCGAUUCCCUUAGUAGCGGCGAGCGAAACGGGAAGAGCCCAAACCAACAAGCUUGCUUGUUGGGGUUGUAGGACACUCUAUACGGAGUUACAAAGGACGACAUUAGACGAAUCAUCUGGAAAGAUGAAUCAAAGAAGGUAAUAAUCCUGUAGUCGAAAAUGUUGUCUCUCUUGAGUGGAUCCUGAGUACGACGGAGCACGUGAAAUUCCGUCGGAAUCUGGGAGGACCAUCUCCUAAGGCUAAAUACUCUCUAGUGACCGAUAGUGAACCAGUACCGUGAGGGAAAGGUGAAAAGCACCCCGGAAGGGGAGUGAAAUAGAACCUGAAACCGUGUGCUUACAAGUAGUCAGAGCCCGUUAAUGGGUGAUGGCGUGCCUUUUGUAGAAUGAACCGGCGAGUUACGAUUUGAUGCAAGGUUAAGCAGUAAAUGUGGAGCCGUAGCGAAAGCGAGUCUGAAUAGGGCGUUUAGUAUUUGGUCGUAGACCCGAAACCAGGUGAUCUACCCUUGGUCAGGUUGAAGUUCAGGUAACACUGAAUGGAGGACCGAACCGACUUACGUUGAAAAGUGAGCGGAUGAACUGAGGGUAGCGGAGAAAUUCCAAUCGAACCUGGAGAUAGCUGGUUCUCUCCGAAAUAGCUUUAGGGCUAGCCUCAAGUGAUGAUUAUUGGAGGUAGAGCACUGUUUGGACGAGGGGCCCCUCUCGGGUUACCGAAUUCAGACAAACUCCGAAUGCCAAUUAAUUUAACUUGGGAGUCAGAACAUGGGUGAUAAGGUCCGUGUUCGAAAGGGAAACAGCCCAGACCACCAGCUAAGGUCCCAAAAUAUAUGUUAAGUGGAAAAGGAUGUGGCGUUGCCCAGACAACUAGGAUGUUGGCUUAGAAGCAGCCAUCAUUUAAAGAGUGCGUAAUAGCUCACUAGUCGAGUGACACUGCGCCGAAAAUGUACCGGGGCUAAACAUAUUACCGAAGCUGUGGAUUGUCCUUUGGACAAUGGUAGGAGAGCGUUCUAAGGGCGUUGAAGCAUGAUCGUAAGGACAUGUGGAGCGCUUAGAAGUGAGAAUGCCGGUGUGAGUAGCGAAAGACGGGUGAGAAUCCCGUCCACCGAUUGACUAAGGUUUCCAGAGGAAGGCUCGUCCGCUCUGGGUUAGUCGGGUCCUAAGCUGAGGCCGACAGGCGUAGGCGAUGGAUAACAGGUUGAUAUUCCUGUACCACCUAUAAUCGUUUUAAUCGAUGGGGGGACGCAGUAGGAUAGGCGAAGCGUGCGAUUGGAUUGCACGUCUAAGCAGUAAGGCUGAGUAUUAGGCAAAUCCGGUACUCAUUAAGGCUGAGCUGUGAUGGGGAGAAGACAUUGUGUCUUCGAGUCGUUGAUUUCACACUGCCGAGAAAAGCCUCUAGAUAGAAAAUAGGUGCCCGUACCGCAAACCGACACAGGUAGUCAAGAUGAGAAUUCUAAGGUGAGCGAGCGAACUCUCGUUAAGGAACUCGGCAAAAUGACCCCGUAACUUCGGGAGAAGGGGUGCUCUUUAGGGUUAACGCCCAGAAGAGCCGCAGUGAAUAGGCCCAAGCGACUGUUUAUCAAAAACACAGGUCUCUGCUAAACCGUAAGGUGAUGUAUAGGGGCUGACGCCUGCCCGGUGCUGGAAGGUUAAGAGGAGUGGUUAGCUUCUGCGAAGCUACGAAUCGAAGCCCCAGUAAACGGCGGCCGUAACUAUAACGGUCCUAAGGUAGCGAAAUUCCUUGUCGGGUAAGUUCCGACCCGCACGAAAGGCGUAACGAUUUGGGCACUGUCUCAACGAGAGACUCGGUGAAAUCAUAGUACCUGUGAAGAUGCAGGUUACCCGCGACAGGACGGAAAGACCCCGUGGAGCUUUACUGUAGCCUGAUAUUGAAAUUCGGCACAGCUUGUACAGGAUAGGUAGGAGCCUUUGAAACGUGAGCGCUAGCUUACGUGGAGGCGCUGGUGGGAUACUACCCUAGCUGUGUUGGCUUUCUAACUCGCACCACUUAUCGUGGUGGGAGACAGUGUCAGGCGGGCAGUUUGACUGGGGCGGUCGCCUCCUAAAAGGUAACGGAGGCGCUCAAAGGUUCCCUCAGAAUGGUUGGAAAUCAUUCAUAGAGUGUAAAGGCAUAAGGGAGCUUGACUGCGAGACCUACAAGUCGAGCAGGGUCGAAAGACGGACUUAGUGAUCCGGUGGUUCCGCAUGGAAGGGCCAUCGCUCAACGGAUAAAAGCUACCCCGGGGAUAACAGGCUUAUCUCCCCCAAGAGUUCACAUCGACGGGGAGGUUUGGCACCUCGAUGUCGGCUCAUCGCAUCCUGGGGCUGUAGUCGGUCCCAAGGGUUGGGCUGUUCGCCCAUUAAAGCGGUACGCGAGCUGGGUUCAGAACGUCGUGAGACAGUUCGGUCCCUAUCCGUCGUGGGCGUAGGAAAUUUGAGAGGAGCUGUCCUUAGUACGAGAGGACCGGGAUGGACAUACCUCUGGUGUACCAGUUGUCGUGCCAACGGCAUAGCUGGGUAGCUAUGUGUGGACGGGAUAAGUGCUGAAAGCAUCUAAGCAUGAAGCCCCCCUCAAGAUGAGAUUUCCCAACUUCGGUUAUAAGAUCCCUCAAAGAUGAUGAGGUUAAUAGGUUCGAGGUGGAAGCAUGGUGACAUGUGGAGCUGACGAAUACUAAUCGAUCGAAGACUUAAUCAA